AUUGAACGCUGGCGGCAUGCCUUACACAUGCAAGUCGAACGGUAACAGGUCUUCGGAUGCUGACGAGUGGCGAACGGGUGAGUAAUACAUCGGAACGUGCCUGGUAGUGGGGGAUAACUACUCGAAAGAGUGGCUAAUACCGCAUGAGAUCUACGGAUGAAAGCAGGGGAUCGCAAGACCUUGUGCUACUAGAGCGGCCGAUGGCAGAUUAGGUAGUUGGUGGGAUAAAAGCUUACCAAGCCGACGAUCUGUAGCUGGUCUGAGAGGACGAUCAGCCACACUGGGACUGAGACACGGCCCAGACUCCUACGGGAGGCAGCAGUGGGGAAUUUUGGACAAUGGGCGAAAGCCUGAUCCAGCAAUGCCGCGUGCAGGAUGAAGGCCUUCGGGUUGUAAACUGCUUUUGUACGGAACGAAAAGCCCUGGGUUAGUACCCUGGGGUCAUGACGGUACCGUAAGAAUAAGCACCGGCUAACUACGUGCCAGCAGCCGCGGUAAAAC
rnacentral:rRNA from 1 species